GAUUGCCUCAGUAACGGCGAGUGAAGCGGCAAAAGCUCAAAUUUGAAAUCUAGCACCUUCGGUGUUCGAGUUGUAAUUUGAAGAUGGUAACCUUGGGUUUGGCUCUUGUCUAUGUUCCUUGGAACAGGACGUCAUAGAGGGUGAGAAUCCCGUCUGAUGAGAUGCCCAUUCCUAUGUAAGGUGCUAUCGAAGAGUCGAGUUGUUUGGGAAUGCAGCUCUAAGUGGGUGGUAAAUUCCAUCUAAAGCUAAAUAUUGGCGAGAGACCGAUAGCGAACAAGUACAGUGAUGGAAAGAUGAAAAGAACUUUGAAAAGAGAGUGAAAAAGUACGUGAAAUUGUUGAAAGGGAAGGGCAUUAGAUCAGACUUGGUGUUUUACGAUUAUCUUCUCUUCUUGAGUUGUGCACUCGUAUUUCACUGGGCCAGCAUCGAUUCGGAUGGCAAGAUAAUGGCAGUUGAAUGUGGCUUCACUUCGGUGGAGUGUUAUAGCUUCUGCUGAUAUUGCCUGUCUGGAUCGAGGGCUGCGUCUUUUGACUAGGAUGCUGGCGUAAUGAUCUAAUGCCGCCCGUCUUGAAACACGGACCAAGGAGUCUAACGUCUAUGCGAGUGUUUGGGUGUAAAACCCGUACGCGUAAUGAAAGUGAACGUAGGUGAGAGCUCUUUUUUGAGUGCAUCAUCGACCGAUCCUGAUGUUUUCGGAUGGAUUUGAGUAAGAGCAUAGCUGUUGGGACCCGAAAGAUGGUGAACUAUGCCUGAAUAGGGUGAAGCCAGAGGAAACUCUGGUGGAGGCUCGUAGCGGUUCUGACGUGCAAAUCGAUCGUCGAAUUUGGGUAUAGGGCGAAAGA
rnacentral:rRNA from 1 species